rnacentral:rRNA from 1 species
UGGGGAAUCUUCCGCAAUGGACGAAAGUCUGACGGAGCAACGCCGCGUGAGUGAAGACGGCCUUCGGGUUGUAAAGCUCUGUGAUCCGGGACGAAAGAGCCUGAGGUAAAUAGCCUAAGGAAGUGACGGUACCGGAAAAGCAAGCCACGGCUAACUACGUGCCAGCAGCCGCGGUAAUACGUAGGUGGCAAGCGUUGUCCGGAAUUAUUGGGCGUAAAGCGCGCGCAGGCGGCUUCCUAAGUCCAUCUUAAAAGUGCGGGGCUUAACCCCGUGAUGGGAUGGAAACUGGGAAGCUGGAGUAUCGGAGAGGAAAGUGGAAUUCCUAGUGUAGCGGUGAAAUGCGUAGAGAUUAGGAAGAACACCGGUGGCGCAGGCGACUUUCUGGACGAAAACUGACGCUGAGGCGCGAAAGCGUGGGGAGCAAACAGG